CUACGGGUUGCACCUGUGAGGAAUAUUGCACAAUGGGGGGAACCCUGAUGCAGCAACGCCGCGUGGAGGAUGACGCAUUUCGGUGUGUAAACUCCUUUUAUAUGUCAAGAAAAUGACGGUAGCAUAUGAAUAAGCACCGGCUAACUCCGUGCCAGCCGCCGCGGUAAUACGGAGGGUGCAAGCGUUACUCGGAAUCACUGGGCGUAAAGGACGCGUAGGCGGGUUGGAAAGUCAGGUGUGAAAUCCUACAGCUUAACUGUAGAACUGCACUUGAAACUUCUAAUCUAGAGUAUGGGAGGGGGAGAUGGAAUUAGUGGUGUAGGGGUAAAAUCCGUAGAUAUCACUAGGAAUACCUAAAGCGAAGGCGAUCUCCUGGAACAUUACUGACGCUAAGGCGUGAAAGCGUGGGGAGCAAACAGGAUUAGAUACCCCAGUAGUC
rnacentral:rRNA from 1 species